ACACGGACCAAGGAGUCUACAUGUGCGCGAGUCGUGGGGCUCUACGAACCUCCUAGGCGCAAUGAAAGUGAAGGUCGCUUGCGGCCGAGGUGGGAUCCCGUCCCCCGGGGCGGGCGCACCACCGGCCCGUCUCGUCGGCGCUGUCCGAGAGGCGGAGCGAGAGCGUACACGUUGGGACCCGAAAGAUGGUGAACUAUGCCUGAGUAGGGUGAAGCCAGAGGAAACUCUGGUGGAAGUCCGUAGCGAUUCUGACGUGCAAAUCGAUCGUCGAACUUGGGUAUAGGGGCGAAAGACUAAUCGAACCAUCUAGUAGCUGGUUCCCCCCGAAGUUUCCCUCAGGAUAGCUGGCACUCAUUUCGCAGUUUUAUCCGGUAAAGCGAAUGACUAGAGGAAUCGGGGACGAAAAGACCUCGACCUAUUCUCAAACUUUAAAUGGGUAAGAAGCCCGACUCGCUCGGUUGGAGCCGGGCCACGAAUGCGAGAGCCCAGUGGGCCACUUUUGGUAAGCAGAACUGG
rnacentral:rRNA from 1 species